rnacentral:rRNA from 2 species
UGGCGACCAUAGCAAGAGUGAACCACCUGAUCCCUUCCCGAACUCAGAAGUGAAACCUCUUAGCGCUGAUG